CCUACGGGAGGCAGCAGUGGGGGAUAUUGCACAAUGGGGGGAACCCUGAUGCAGCGACGCCGCGUGGGUGAAGAAGCGCCUCGGCGCGUAAAGCCCUGUCAGCAGGGAAGAAAAUGACGGUACCUGAAGAAGAAGCCCCGGCUAACUACGUGCCAGCAGCCGCGGGAAUACGUAGGGGGCAAGGGUUAGCCGGAUUUACUGGGUGUAAAGGGGGCGCAGACGGCGAUGCAAGACAGGAGGGAAACCCCGGGGCCUAACCCCGGGACUGCUCUUGGAACUGCGUGGCUGGAGUGCAGGAGGGGCAGGCGGAAUUCCUGGUGUAGCGGUGAAAUGCGUAGAUAUCAGGAGGAACACCGGUGGCGAAGGCGGCCUGCUGGACUGCAACUGACGUUGAGGCCCGAAAGCGUGGGGAGCAAACAGGAUUAGAUACCCCUGUAGUC
rnacentral:rRNA from 1 species